rnacentral:misc_RNA from 1 species
AAUUAGGCUGCUAUGCCCA